GUAGUCAUAUGCUUGUCUCAAAGAUUAAGCCAUGCAUGUCUAAGUAUAAGCAAUUACAAAGCGAAACUGCGAAUGGCUCAUUAUAUAAGUUAUCGUUUAUUUGAUAGUACCUUACUACAUGGAUAACCGUGGUAAUUCUAGAGCUAAUACAUGCUGAAAAUCCCGACUUCGGAAGGGAUGUAUUUAUUAGAUACAAAACCAAUGCCCUUCGGGGCUCUCUUGGUGAUUCAUGAUAACUUCUCGAAUCGCACGGCCCCGCGCCGGCGAUGGUUCAUUCAAAUUUCUUCCCUAUCAACUUUCGAUGCUACGGUAUUGUCCUAGCAUGGUUGCAACGGGUGACGGAGGGUUAGGGCUCGACCCCGGAGAAGGAGCCUGAGAAACGGCUACUACAUCCAAGGAAGGCAGCAGGCGCGCAAAUUACCCAAUCCCGACUCGGGGAGGUAGUGACGAUAAAUACCGAUACAGGGCUCUUUUGGGUCCUGUAAUUGGAAUGAGUACAAUUCAAAUCCCUUAACGAGGAACAAUUGGAGGGCAAGUCUGGUGCCAGCAGCCGCGGUAAUUCCAGCUCCAAUAGCGUAUAUUAAAGUUGUUGUGGUUAAAAAGCUCGUAGUAGAAGCUCGGCCUCCGGUCGGCCGGUCCGCCUCACCGCGUGCACUGGUUCGGCCGGGGCUUCACCUUCUGCGGAACCGCAUCUCCUUCACUGGGGGUGUCGGGGAAACAGGACGUUUACUCAAUCGUCAGAGGUGAAAUUCUUGGAUCGAUUGAAGACUAACUACUGCGAAAGCAUUUGCCAAGGAUGUUUUCAUUUAUCAGGAACGAAAGUUAGGGGAUCGAAGACGAUCAGAUACCGUCGUAGUCUUAACCAUAAACUAUGCCGACUAGGGAUCGGACGGUGUUAUUUCUUGACCCGUUCGGCACCUUACGAGAAAUCAAAGUGCUUGGGCUCCAGGGGGAGUAUGGUCGCAAGGCCGAAACUUAAAGAAAUUGACGGAAGGGCACCACCAGGGGUGGACUGCGGCUUAAUUUGACUCAACACGGGGAAACUCACCAGGUCCAGACACAACGAGGAUUGACAGAUUGAGAGCUCUUUCUUGAUUUUGUGGGUGGUGGUGCAUGGCCGUUCUUAGUUGGUGGAGUGAUUUGUCUGCUUAAUUGCGAUAACGAACGAGACCUUAACCUGCUAAAUAGUCCGUAUUACCCCGGUAGUACGCCGACUUCUUAGAGGGACUAUCGGCUCAAGCCGAUGGAAGUUUGAGGCAAUAACAGGUCUGUGAUGCCCUUAGAUGUUCUGGGCCGCACGCGCGUUACACUGACGGGGCCAGCGAGUACUGCCUUGGCCGAAAGGUCCGGGUAAUCUUGUGAAACCCCGUCGUGCUGGGGAUAGAGCAUUGCAAUUAUUGCUCUUCAACGAGGAAUCCCUAGUAAGCGCAAGUCAUCAGCUUGCGUUGAUUACGUCCCUGCCCUUUGUACACACCGCCCGUCGCUACUACCNGAUUGAA
rnacentral:rRNA from 1 species